AGCGCAGGCGGGAAGACAAGUUGGAAGUGAAAACCAUGGGCUCAACCCAUGAAUUGCUUUCAAAACUGUUUUUCUUGAGUAGUGCAGAGGUAGAUGGAAUUCCCGGUGUAGCGGUGGAAUGCGUAGAUAUCGGGAGGAACACCAGUGGCGAAGGCGGUCUACUGGGCACCAACUGACGCGGAGGCUCGAAAGCAUGGGUAGCAAACA
rnacentral:rRNA from 1 species